rnacentral:tRNA from 1 species
GCCCGGAUAGCUCAGUUGGAUAAGAGCAGCCGCCUUCUAAGCGGCAGGUCGCCGGUUCGAGUCCGGCUCCGGGCG